GCCACCAUCCUCCAAAGGUCUAUGUAUGCUGUGCCCCUGACAAUACUGCCCUAGGUGGGGCACCGGCCAGGAGCCAGGGUUGACCUCUACAAGCAGCAAAACACAAAAUUUGCAGAACAAUGUAACCCCUGCUUUGAGUGGAUACAAUGAUGCAGAGACUUGGAACUGGAAGUGUGCAGCUUUUCUACAGGUACAAAUGUUGGCCUGGCUUUUUCAUUACCCAUCCAUGGAAAGAUUACAAGAAGGCUACAUAAGUACCUGCUGAGCUAAAGAAUAAAACCUCAAAGCAGAGUUACUCUGUAGGGUUU
rnacentral:lncRNA from 1 species